rnacentral:rRNA from 1 species
UCCAGACUCCUACGGGAGGCAGCAGUGGGGAAUAUUGCACAAUGGGGGAAACCCUGAUGCAGCAACGCCGCGUGAGUGAAGAAGCGUUUCGGCGCGUAAAGCUCUGUCAGCGGGGAAGAAAGAAGACGGUACCCGACCAAGAAGCCCCGGCUAACUACGUGCCAGCAGCCGCGGUAAUACGUAGGGAGCAAGCGUUAUCCGGAUUUACUGGGUGUAAAGGGCGCGUAGGCGGGAUGGCAAGUCAGAUGUGAAAUCCAGGGGCUCAACCCCUGAACUGCAUUUGAAACUGUCGUUCUUGAGUACUGGAGAGGUUGACGGAAUUCCUAGUGUAGCGGUGAAAUGCGUAGAUAUUAGGAGGAACACCAGUGGCGAAGGCGGUCAACUGGACAGCAACUGACGCUGAGGCGCGAAAGCGUGGGGAGCAAACAGGAUUAGAUACCCCCGUAC